GCCCCCAGCGGCUCUCUCUGUGCUCUAGCCGAUUAAUCUUUACGAUCAAUGGCUGCGAGUGUGCCCUAGCUGAUUAAUCUCUACAAUCAAUGGAUAAUCAGGUUGAUGCUGAGAUUCAAACUACAGUUGCUCAAGGUGAUGUUUACAACGAGGAAGAGGCGCAACCAUAUGUGUUGGGUGGUUAUCGUAAUGAGAUAUAAGAGACUCAACACUCAAAUGGAAUUACAAUUGUUCAAGUUACAAAUGAAUGGACUAGAUUUAGGGAUAAUCUAGCUUAUACUAUUUACUAUUUACUUAUUUAUUGACAUUUGUAUAAUAUUUUCUUUUAUGAUUUGUGUAUCAAUUCGAUGUUGUAUCAGGACUA